rnacentral:rRNA from 1 species
UACGUAGGGUGCGAGCGUUGUCCGGAAUUAUUGGGCGUAAAGAGCUCGUAGGCGGUGUGUCGCGUCGGUCGUGAAAACUUGGGGCUUAACCCUGAGCUUGCGGUCGAUACGGGCAUCACUGGAGUUCGGCAGGGGAGACUGGAAUUCCUGGUGUAGCGGUGAAAUGCGCAGAUAUCAGGAGGAACACCGGUGGCGAAGGCGGGUCUCUGGGCAGAUACUGACGCUGAGGAGCGAAAGCGUGGGGAGCGAACAGG